rnacentral:lncRNA from 1 species
ACCAUUAAAAGCUAUUGAAAUCAUAAUUACCGAUGACAAUAUAUAGAGACCAUGGAAUAACAGAAAGGGCAUCUGAUCCAUGAAUGACAUAAAAAAAGAGGAAAACACUUGAAAAUCCUAGACCACCCUCAAUGGUGGUCAUUGAUCAUUUUCCAACAUACCUCCUACAAAUAGGACGAUUGCGAUCUCACAUGACCGACUUCAGGGGAUUUUAUCUCAAUAAUAUUUAUAAUGAACAUUUG